rnacentral:rRNA from 1 species
UACGGAGGGGGCUAGCGUUGUUCGGAAUUACUGGGCGUAAAGCGCACGUAGGCGGCUUUGCAAGUUAGAGGUGAAAGCCCAGGGCUUAACCCUGGAAUUGCCUUUAAGACUGCAUCGCUAGAAUCGUGGAGAGGUGAGUGGAAUUCCGAGUGUAGAGGUGAAAUUCGUAGAUAUUCGGAAGAACACCAGUGGCGAAGGCGACUCACUGGACACGUAUUGACGCUGAGGUGCGAAAGCGUGGGGAGCAAACAGG